CGAUGAAGGCCGGAGCUUGCUCUGGCUGGAUUAGUGGCGAACGGGUGAGUAACACGUGAGCAAUCUGCCCUUGACUCUGGGAUAAGCGUUGGAAACGACGUCUAAUACCGGAUACGACCCUCGGAGGCAUCUCCUGGGGGUGGAAAGAACUUUGGUCAAGGAUGAGCUCGCGGCCUAUCAGCUAGUUGGUGAGGUAAUGGCUCACCAAGGCGACGACGGGUAGCCGGCCUGAGAGGGUGACCGGCCACACUGGGACUGAGACACGGCCCAGACUCCUACGGGAGGCAGCAGUGGGGAAUAUUGCACAAUGGGCGAAAGCCUGAUGCAGCAACGCCGCGUGAGGGAUGACGGCCUUCGGGUUGUAAACCUCUUUUAGUAGGGAAGAAGCGAAAGUGACGGUACCUGCAGAAAAAGCACCGGCUAACUACGUGCCAGCAGCCGCGGUAAUACGUAGGGUGCAAGCGUUGUCCGGAAUUAUUGGGCGUAAAGAGCUCGUAGGCGGUUUGUCGCGUCUGCUGUGAAAUCUGGGGGCUCAACCCCCAGCCUGCAGUGGGUACGGGCAGACUAGAGUGCGGUAGGGGAGAUUGGAAUUCCUGGUGUAGCGGUGGAAUGCGCAGAUAUCAGGAGGAACACCAAUGGCGAAGGCAGAUCUCUGGGCCGUAACUGACGCUGAGGAGCGAAAGCAUGGGGAGCGAACAGGAUUAGAUA
rnacentral:rRNA from 1 species